UCUCCCCUCCUCCCGUGUGCCAGUACCCAAGCCCUGUGUUUGAGAUAAGUCUGAAGACAGGUCAUCCUGUGUGAUGUCACAAUGUGUUAAUCUAACUAGUAAUUUUUUUAGUGCCAAACUUCGGAAUUCUACCCUGCGUUCUCUUCCUCUUUCUCCUUUUUGGUUCUUAACUGAUGAAAUAACUCUAUUGAGUGACUUAUCAUCAGUCCGGAAUAAACUAUCUUUGCCAUCAAAUAGGCCACAAAGGCAGGAAAGAUGACUCUAUGAGGCGUCCUGCGGGGACUGAAAUGCCAUCUCUUUCAGAUUCCUGGACCCCGCCCUGGACCUAUUGAAACAGAAUCUCUAAAGUUGGGCCCCGGAAUCUUCAUUUUAACAAGCUCACCAGCUUUGCUCGGAACAUUUGGAGGGCUGGCCCGGCACUCCCUGCAGAGCCUGAGAGCGGGUGGCGAGCCAAGAUACCAGCGGCACAUUGUUUCACCUGCGCUGCCAGAUACUCAGAAAAAACACACAACGGUUUGUCAAAACAGCCAUGGACGCUGCGCGCUCGUUUUCCCUGCAGCCCAGUCCUCGCUGCCAAGGUACACGGCCAGGUUUCUCUGAGCGCCGAGAGAUGCUCCGCUAAAUUCCUGGCGCGGCGGGGGGGAUGUGACAUAUGAAGGGAACCGGAGUGCUCCCUGGGGAGCCCGGCUCUACCUGGAAAAGGCUGUGCCAGACCCAUUAAAUCAGGUUCCCACAGCCCUCAGCCUUAGUCAGCACCUGGCCGUGAAAUGACUCAGUCGCAAGGAAACCAGAACCAAGGAGGGGCUCCUAGCUUCAUGGGAGAGCUCGGCUUCCUAAUGCUUCCCCGGCCCCCGAGCUGCGCCGGAAUCACAUGAUUAAAAAGAAAAGCGCAGCCUGCACAACAACCUGAGACAGAACGGGGCUGCCUCUGUCUUCCCUUUGUUAUCUGCAGAGUGAGCUCCAGGAGUGCCUUUGUUGGGUUUCCGAUGC